rnacentral:lncRNA from 1 species
CUUCUCAUCUACUUUGUGUCAAGCAUUGUGCUAGGCAUUGUGAAUACAGAGGCCCUCCAAAGCAGGUCUGCCUUCAAGGAGCAUCUAUUCUAUUGGUACUAAACUGCAUAUUCAUAGAACAUUUGAUAUAAAAAUCUAUAAAAAGUAGGUAAGAGGCAAUUUCUGGGGAGACAGUCCGAGUAUGGAAUGUGGCACCUAACUUGAGUCAGCCUUAACAAAAGUCAUUCUGUGAUGCUUUCUAGGGAUGGGUCACAGCCUGGGCAAAGACAAGGAAACUAAAUAGUCACCUGCACCCCUACUCCACCCCAGUUUCCCUGGCCCAGGAAUUCUACCUGAGCGUGAUAACAGAGCUAGGCAGGAAACCAAGCCUCCGAAGAGGAGGGGUGGAUUAACCCUAAUGGGUGUGAAGAGGUUCCAGGAGAAAUCCAGUCCUGGCCCAAACUCAAGAAUGUCUCAUCACAGCCCUAUGGAAGACGGCCAGCUGGAAACCUCGGGCCCUUGGGUGAUCCUGGGCAAUUGGGAUUAAGUUUAGGUCACACAGCAGCAACUGGAAGCCAAGCACAAAUUUCAUAUAUUACAAGCCCUGGAGACUGUUAUCACCUCAGGCCCUUUCCUCAGUGCACAUUGGCUCCAAACCUUCACCAGAUUGGCCCUGAAGCACGUGAUUCAGGUUACGGUAAGCCCUAAGUAGAACAGCCCUCUGCUUCCAGGGACAGAUCUCAUGAUGGUACUCAUAGUUAUUAUAGGAUACCCCCGAGCCUAUAUAUAUCCUCAGAGCCUCAGGUUACCUAAGGAUGUGAGACAGUUGGGUGAAGAUGUCAGUGGAAGAAAUAAGGAAGUGGGAUGAUUGGUUUCUGAUUUCAGCUAGGGAAAGAAUGACAUGAAAUACAGACAUACCUUGCAGCUAUUGAGGGUUUGGUUCCAGACCACUGC